rnacentral:rRNA from 1 species
GACGAACGCUGGCGGCGUGCUUAACACAUGCAAGUCGAACGGAAAGGCUCUGCUUUUGUGGGGUGCUCGAGUGGCGAACGGGUGAGUAACACGAGAGUAACCUGCCCUUGACUUUGGGAUAACUUCAGGAAACUGGGGCUAAUACCGGAUAGGAGCUCCUGCUGCAUGGGGGGGGUUGGAAAGUUUCGGCGGUUUGGGAUGGACUCGCGGCUUAUCAGCUUGUUGGUGGGGUAGUGGCUUACCAAGGCUUUGACGGGAAGCCCGCCUGAGAGGGUGACCGGCCACGUUGUGACUGCGCUACGGCCCGGCCUCCUACGGGACGCAGCAGUGGCGUAUAUUGCACAAUGAGCGGGAGCCUGAUGCAGCGGCGCCGCGUGCGGGAUGACGGCCUUCGGGUUGUAAACCGCUUUCGCCUGUGACGAAGCGUGAGUGACGGUACUGAGUAAAGAAGCGCCGGCUAACUACGUG